CCCUGGCUGGCUCAGUUGGUAGAGCAUGUGACUCUUGAUCUCGGGAUUGUGAGUUCAAGCCCCAUGUUGGGUA
rnacentral:tRNA from 1 species